CAAUGUGGCGCCUGCCAUUGGCCAGGGGAGACAGUCGGCGCUCUGAUUGGCCGGGCCCGCGCCCGGGGAGCCCCUCAUUCUACAGUGUCCGAAAGAUUCGAAACUCCGCACGCUCUGCUGAGUGCCUGCGGGAUGGGAGGGGGCGCCAGGGAAGGAGUGCGCGAGGAGGAGCGUUGCAAAUGUCGUGACAAGAAGUUUCCGUGCGCCUGAGAGCGUGUGAAUUGCUCCUAAUUACCGUGUCCGGUGCGCCUCUCCGCGUAGACCUGUGUAACCCCUCUACUUCUGGGGCUCCGGCUCCACUGAGCCACUCUCCCUUGGCCCGGGGCGCUUGGCAAGGCCGAGCUUCCCAAGUGGCCCCGGAGGCCUGGGGCGGGACAGGAGCAGGUGACAAUUCAAUUACCGCUGUCGAAGUGGGAGUGGAACCCGGGUGCCGGGGUGGGGGAGGGAGGGCGUUCACCACAGACUUGCCAAGACGCUUUUUGCUGGCUUCCUUCUGACCGUGACCGAGUGCUUCCACCUCCGACGGGCUCCGAGGUAGUUGAGAGCCGGUUUGCUCCCUUCCCCCGUCCUCUGUCACCUUUAAUACUUAGUUCCUUCGUUUGCAAAGUCCCGACACCGUGGGCGUCACGGAGGCAAAAGUAAAAAGCCGCCUUUGCGCUUCCCCAGAUCCUCUGGAGGCUGGACGAACGGCCAGUCGGUCAGGCCCAUCAGCCCACAAGGCUUCCGCAGGGGGCAAGGGCCCUGGACCAGCUUUGACUUGGCCUUCCUGGACACGUGCUGACGUCACGGCCCCAGAACCGGUUGGGUCUACGGAGGAGCAUAGUGGCUCUUGUUCCUGCGUGGACUCCAGCACACAAGACAUUUUCCUCCAGUCUUGCUGAUUAAGGCCCCCAGUCGUGCGUGCCCAGCGCGAACGGAGAGAGAGGCAGCCUGUUUUUUUUUUACCCUGUUUCCGCUGAAAUGGUCCUCGGUGAAAUGGCCUAGGCUAGGACCAAGAAAAGUCGACACAACUUUGAAGUUUGGAAAACAAAACAACGAACCGCACUGCCCACUGUGGCUCUGGACUUUUGCGUGUUCCUCCUGUGAGGGCUCCAGCGUCUCGCACUUUCCCUGCAGUGAUUUGUGAAGACCCAUUUUCCCCCAUUAGGUCCUAUUAUCUCACUUUUCAGGUGAGAAACCGAUUCCUAGCUGGAAGGCGGUAGGCAGGAGCGCAAAUUUCAAGCUUGGCGUACCCUUCUCUAGUCAGUUCUGCAAUGUUCUGAGUUCCACCCGAGGCUCUUCCUCGGUGGUGCUCGGGAUGAUGCUCCGCUUCUUAGGGGAAAGGGCACUGGGCUUACUCUUAAGCAGGAGGUGGAAGGGCCAACUGAGGGGGAAGGAGGGAUCGCACUAGUGCAGAGUGUAGCAGGAGGGGCAACACCAAGCUCCAAUCACAGCCAAAGCCACAGACACUGCCCUCCUUGGACAAGCCCUGCAAGGGAGUAGGGUUUACCCAAGUUUGCAAGGCUUUCUUCUAUUUUGAAGUGUCUCCUGGGUUUGCCUCUCAGCUAAAACAUAGGUAUGACCUGUGUUGUUUAGUACACAGUGCUUUUAGGAUGUGCAAUGGCCCAUUUCAGACCUGAGUGGCCCAGGGUGGUGAGGUAACUUGCCUGGGGAUCACCAUGCUGCUAAGGCCUUAAGGAAGAAAUCCAGAUCCAGGGACCAAGUAGUAGGUCCCUGUCCCCUCACCUCAGCUCUAGAUAGAGCAUGGGGCUUAGCGAUUUCUUUCAGGGUUUCUUUAAGUUCAGCAGUUAGUCUAGGAAAACUGAGAAUCUGGCCACUCAUGUAACAGGAGAAAGACUAAUUACUUGUAAUGUGCUCUUACAGAGUUCACUGGUCAACUAGGCACAUGGUUACACACAGUUGAUCUCACAGUGAGAGAACAGAAGGGCUUCCUGAAGGGGCCUUUGAUAUGAGCGUCAGGUCUGCCAGUGCUUGUUCUCAUGAAAGUAAAUACUUUAGAAAUGUUUUAGAAAAAGUAGCAGAAUAUAUUUUGGUAUACGAUUUUUGUGUACUCUUUUUACAAAAAAAUGUUUACACAUAUAAAGCAUUUUUCAUAAUCUUUAAAAGAAUUUUAAAACGUUCAGCUAUAGGGGCAUAUCUUGUUUAGCCAAUUCUUUUUUACAGUUAGUCUCCAUUUUGUGCUCUAAUAACAUUGCUAUUGCGAGCAUCCUUUAUGAAUGUGACCAAUUAUUUCCUUAGGAUAAAUUACUAAAAAUAAGAUCGAGUGAUCAGAGUCUUUCUCUCUCUCUCUCUUUCUUAAAGCUUUUGAUAACUACCUGUCAAACAGCCCCCAGAAAAGGCUGUGGCAGGCAAGGUGCUCAACAGAUGCAUCUUGGGAUCUAAAAUCUUCAUUAAUUCAAGCAAACAGUAUUUCACAGACAUUGCAAUUUACAUUUUCUUAGUUUUUUCUUUAUUUCUUGGUCACUGUGGUCCAUUUUAAAAUAAUCUGCAUUAGUCCUUUAAAAGAUUAGGGCGGCAAUACUUCCACUUAGCUCAGUAGCUAUGCACACACUCAAGGCAAUAGCAUCCUCCUUUCUGCCAUGACUGCUGCCUUUCUCUAUUCUUCCGGUUACUGAUCUUCUUAUCCUAUCUUGGGGCUUUAAACUUUUUUUUAAAGGUAGGCAUGCUUGUUAAUUUUCUCUAAAAAAAUGCUCUAUAUUUACACUAUCUUAAAGGUUUCCCAGUUUCACAUUUCUAAGAUAAUUUAUUACCUGUAUCUUUUACCAUUAGCUCCUUUCAUUAUUUCUAUAAUCCGUUCAGUUGAAAUGAAUUCUUAUGGAAGGUGUGAGGUUUGUAUCCUAACUUUCCCCCCAAAUAAUUAGCUGGCUAUCUCAGGACUGAUUCAUGACCUGCGUGUCCCUCCACUGACCACACACAUCUCAGAAGGCCGUUCUUGGCUUCAGCACUUGUCUGCCCCAGCCUCAGUGAUGCUGCACUUGCUUAAUAUCUGGGAGAGCAGGUCAUACUACAGAUUCCGGAUUCUUCUUUUAUUCAAACUUCUCGUUUUUUUUCCCCCAAAACACAGUAAUCUAAACCAACAUUCUAUAGAUUACAAAUCUAAUUAAAAAUAAGAUAAAA
rnacentral:sRNA from 1 species